rnacentral:ncRNA from 1 species
AUAAUGAUACUCCCGUCCAGUCACAGUCCGAGUGGUAGCCAGUCCACCACAGGCAAUGAGGGCGGCUCUGUCAGAACGACAGUUGGGGGUGAAACUCCCGUG